rnacentral:rRNA from 1 species
GAUGAACGCUGGCGGCGUGCCUAAUACAUGCAAGUCGAGCGAACAGACGAGGAGCUUGCUCCUCUGACGUUAGCGGCGGACGGGUGAGUAACACGUGGAUAACCUACCUAUAAGACUGGGAUAACUUCGGGAAACCGGAGCUAAUACCGGAUAAUAUAUUGAACCGCAUGGUUCAAUAGUGAAAGACGGUUUUGCUGUCACUUAUAGAUGGAUCCGCGCCGCAUUAGCUAGUUGGUAAGGUAACGGCUUACCAAGGCGACGAUGCGUAGCCGACCUGAGAGGGGGGGCGCCCACAGGAGAGGGGGAACGGGCCCAGGACCCCGGGGGGAGGGGCCAGAAGGAUACCGCCCGAAGGGGGGGAGACCCUGGCGGAACAGGCCGGAGGGGGAUGUAAGGGUUUCGGGAGCGAAAACCUGUUUUUUGGGGGAAAAACAGUUGUGUAAGUAACUGAACCGUGCUGGAGGGUACUUAAUAAAAAAGCCACGGCAAACUACGUC